GACGAACGCUGGCGGCGUGCCUAAUACAUGCAAGUCGAGCGGACUUGAAGAGAAGCUUGCUUCUCUGAUGGUUAGCGGCGGACGGGUGAGUAACACGUAGGCAACCUGCCUGUAAGACUGGGAUAACUACCGGAAACGGUAGCUAAUACCGGAUAGGUGAUUUUCUCGCAUGAGGGAAUCAAGAAAGACGGAGCAAUCUGUCACUUACGGAUGGGCCUGCGGCGCAUUAGCUAGUUGGUGAGGUAAUGGCUCACCAAGGCGACGAUGCGUAGCCGACCUGAGAGGGUGAACGGCCACACUGGGACUGAGACACGGCCCAGACUCCUACGGGAGGCAGCAGUAGGGAAUCUUCCGCAAUGGACGAAAGUCUGACGGAGCAACGCCGCGUGAGUGAUGAAGGUUUUCGGAUCGUAAAGCUCUGUUGCCAGGGAAGAACGUCUUAGAGAGUAACUGCUCUAAGAGUGACGGUACCUGAGAAGAAAGCCCCGGCUAACUACGUGCCAGCAGCCGCGGUAAUAC
rnacentral:rRNA from 1 species